rnacentral:rRNA from 1 species
GUCCACGCCGUAAACGUUGGGCGCUAGAUGUGGGUCACAUUCCACGUGAUCCGUGUCGCAGCUAACGCAUUAAGCGCCCCGCCUGGGGAGUACGGCCGCAAGGCUAAAACUCAAAGGAAUUGACGGGGGCCCGCACAAGCGGCGGAGCAUGCGGAUUAAUUCGAUGCAACGCGAAGAACCUUACCAAGGCUUGACAUAUAGAGGAAAACUGCAGAAAUGUAGUCCCCGCAAGGUCUCUAUACAGGUGGUGCAUGGUUGUCGUCAGCUCGUGUCGUGAGAUGUUGGGUUAAGUCCCGCAACGAGCGCAACCCUCGUCCUAUGUUGCCAGCACGUUAUGGUGGGAACUCAUGGGAGACUGCCGGGGUCAACUCGGAGGAAGGUGGGGAUGACGUCAAAUCAUCAUGCCCCUUAUGUCUUGGGCUUCACGCAUGCUACAAUGGCCGGUACAAAGGGCUGCAAUACCGCAAGGUGGAGCGAAUCCCAAAAAGCCGGUCUCAGUUCGGAUUGAGGUCUGCAACUCGACCUCAUGAAGUCGGAGUCGCUAGUAAUCGCAGAUCAGCAACGCUGCGGUGAAUACGUUCCCGGGCCUUGUACACACCGCCCGUCAAGUCACGAAAGUCGGUAACACCCGAAGCCGGUGGCCUAACCGUAAGGAAGGAGCCGUCGAAG